rnacentral:rRNA from 1 species
AGUGGACGCUGGCGGUAGGCCUAACACAUGCAAGUCGAACGGCAGCACAGUAAGAGCUUGCUCUUACGGGUGGCGAGUGGCGGACGGGUGAGGAAUAAAUCGGAAUCUACUUUUUCGUGGGGGAUAACGUAGGGAAACUUACGCUAAUACCGCAUACGACCUACGGGUGAAAGCAGGGGAUCUUCGGACCUUGCGCGAUUGAAUGAGCCGAUGUCGGAUUAGCUAGUUGGCGGGGUAAAGGCCCACCAAGGCGACGAUCCGUAGCUGGUCUGAGAGGAUGAUCAGCCACACUGGAACUGAGACACGGUCCAGACUCCUACGGGAGGCAGCAGUGGGGAAUAUUGGACAAUGGGCGCAAGCCUGAUCCAGCCAUACCGCGUGGGUGAAGAAGGCCUUCGGGUUGUAAAGCCCUUUUGUUGGGAAAGAAAAGCAGCAGGUUAAUACCCCGCUGUUCUGACGGUACCCAAAGAAUAAGCACCGGCUAACUUCGUG